rnacentral:rRNA from 1 species
ACGGGUGAGUAACGCGUGGGAAUCUACCUUUUGCUACGGAAUAACGCAUGGAAACGUGUGCUAAUACCGUAUGUGCCCUUUGGGGGAAAGAUUUAUCGGCAAAGGAUGAGCCCGCGUUGGAUUAGCUAGUUGGUGGGGUAAAGGCCUACCAAGGCGACGAUCCAUAGCUGGUCUGAGAGGAUGAUCAGCCACAUUGGGACUGAGACACGGCCCAAACUCCUACGGGAGGCAGCAGUGGGGAAUAUUGGACAAUGGGCGCAAGCCUGACCCAGCCAUGCCGCGUGAGUGAUGAAGGCCUUAGGGUUGUAAAGCUCUUUCACCGGUGAAGAUAAUGACGGUAACCGGAGAAGAAGCCCCGGCUAACUUCGUGCCAGCAGCCGCGGUAAUACGAAGGGGGCUAGCGUUGUUCGGAUUUACUGGGCGUAAAGCGCACGUAGGCGGAUCGGUCAGUCAGGGGUGAAAUCCCAGGGCUCAACCCUGGAACUGCCUUUGAUACUGUCGAUCUGGAGUAUGGAAGAGGUGAGUGGAAUUCCGAGUGUAGAGGUGAAAUUCGUAGA